CCUGUACUGACGCGAAUGUGCAUUCGGUAACUUUGAUCGCAGACCUGCACCAUCCAGGGUAGAUUUGCCGUUUGUGAGGAGGUUGUGAUUAACAAUUUUGAUCCUAAGACUUAGUUUUCAGUAGAAGCUACUGGUAGGGAUACUUCCCGCUUUAUGCUAAAUGAAACCCUCAGCUUUCAUUGGAUAUACUUGGAUGAUUUCUCCUGACAUAUUAAGAAAGGGCUUAUGUACUUGCAUAAUGUUUUAUGCAGUGUUUUCUGAAUACUGUGUGGAAAAAGCGAAGUGAAAUGUGAAAAUUCUGCCAGUACAGUUGCUGGUGAUGCUCUCAAAUCUAGGUGUACGUGGAUUUGGAAGGUGGCCCACUGACUCCAAUUUGCCUUUCAUCGGUUUUUUCCUUCACUUUCCCAGCGUGGACAGAGUCGUGCGUUUCGUUCAGCACGGUUGUGGAAUAGAGUUGUAGGACAUAGGGCUUUCCGAAGGACCCUUCCUACUUCAGAGAUUUACAAGUGGGGAUUAGAGUUGGUGAAAUAUCGUAUGAGGUUAAGACUGGAAAGGUGAACAUCCCGUGCUAACAAUCUAAGUGCGGACACUAGCGAUACUGGGUGUUAACGCUGUCCUCUAGGGCACAGAUAUUUACAUGUCUGUUUCAGUGUGGUAACUUUAGCAAAGUACCACUUAGGAUCAAUGAAAGGUACUGGGCAAAUAGUAACAUUCUAGCGUAACUCUUCCACUUUUGUUGCAACUAAUUGAAACUGUUCAGAAGAACACUUUGAAACCUCUCAGUUCAGUUCAGUCGCUCAUCAUGCGCCCCAGGGGGCCUUUCCUGCCCUCCCCAGAUCUCUGGUCUCCUCCUCCUCCUGGCACAAACGUUUUUAAAAAAAUAAAAUAGGAUCAGGAAGAGAACCUAUUAUACUGAAAUACAGUUAUCAAAAAUAUUGAACUAAACUUGUGAUGAAUUUCCUGACCUGCUUUUUAUUAGCUCACGUAGUAACAGAUGGAACACCAAAUCUAAUUCUUUUUGAGUAUUGAUGAGUAUAAGCGUCAGUUUGGGAUUUUUGUACAGUGCUAAUGUUUUGUGAAAAUAUCUGUGGUUUCUGUUGGUGAAGAAGUCACAGGUGCUGUGCAAAUUCCAGGAUUUUGUGACUACCUGUGGAAUUGAAUGAGUGCUAAAUUUCAGCCAGACGUUAUAAAGAUGUGAUUUUUUUCUCAUUCAGGUUCACAGAGACUAAGAGCCUCUGCACUAGCAGUCAAUUUGCUCCCAUGCAUCCUUUACUAGGAAUAUGUAUGUACCCCCCUUUUUCUUCCUCAUAGUGCUUGUGCUGAGGGCAAGGACGAUGAGGAAGUAGAAACAGCACAACUCAGGGAACCAGAGCUGAACUGUCUGGGGUCACAGCAGGGAGACACAGAUUCAGUGCCUGAUCCGGGAAGAUACCCACAUACCUUGGAACAGCUAAGCCGUGUGCUGCAGCUGCUGGGCCUGUGCUCUAGGAUGGCAGCUGCUGAAGCCCAAGCACUGCAGAGCCCGUGCUCCGCAACAGGAGGAGCCACCGCAACACGAAGCCUGCACACCGCAGCUGGAGAGUAGCCCCCACUCGCUCCAACUAGAGAAAAGCCUGCACAGCAGUGAAGACACGUCACAGCCAAUAAACAAAAUUAUUUUUAAAAAUAAAAAAAUAAAAUCAGUGUUUAUUGAGGCUACAGGCCUGUUUUUUUCUCUAUGCUUUUAUGUACAAUUUUUAUUAUUCUCUUAUCAGUUUAGUCAGUUUUGAUCUUUCAC
ensembl:lncRNA